UUAGCCAAGUUUUUAAAGACUGCCAAGUGCCCGUGUCUCUGUCGGAUUAUUGACUUUGUUGGAUGCUCAUGCUCAAGUGUUGUUUUCAAGACCUCUCUAUUACAUCAUGGUCGUUUUUGCUUUCUCGUACCUUGUUUAAAACAUCACCAAGCCUCAUUAGAGCCCCUCGCUGCCUCCACAAGCAAAUAUCAGCUGGCACUGGACAACAAGACCCAAGGAUGCAGAAGUGAUUCAUCUGUUUCUUCUAAAGCCAGAGGAUGUCCAGAGAGCAAGAAUGAUUCUAUCUCAGCACAAACACAUCCGAA